rnacentral:lncRNA from 1 species
AAAAAGUUUGGUGGUGGUGAUUGUCUAGCAAACAGAUAAGGCGGCGGAGGCGUUGCUGCUAUGGCAAAACGGCAACGACGACGACUCUUGUCGGAAUUGAGAGAAAGGGAAGAGGAGAAAAUUGGGUUAGGGCUCGCCCCUUUUCUGGAAGAAAGGGGACCGAUAAGAUUAGUAGUGGUAGUGAUGGCCAACUGCGGAACUCAUCAGAGAUGGAGAGGAGGCGGCCAGAGCGACAUCAGCCGCCCUUUGCUGGCUGUUUGCUCGCCGCAAACCGAGGGAAAAAUAGAGAGGAGGAUGGAAACUAGGGUUUCUUUCGCUUUUUAGAGGGUAAUUUGGGGGUUGUCGACUGAAGUCGCCGGAAAUGUACAUGCAGCGAUUGUGAAGAGGAAGAAGAAGAAGAAGGGUAGAAAAGAAAUAGGAGAAAUUAAGUGAGACGAAGCCAUGUAAGAUUAGAUUAGUUUUUUGUUUUGUUUUGUUUUUUUUUGUUUUUUUUUUCCAGCACAAAAAUGUCACGUAAGUCGCCGGAUACUUCUAUGCACUUAUCCGACGAUAGGACAUAUACUAAUUAAUGCAUUGGGACAUAAAAUGAUAUUUAUCCAAAAAAU